rnacentral:rRNA from 1 species
AGUGAACGCUGGCGGUAGGCCUAACACAUGCAAGUCGAACGGCAGCACAGGAGAGCUUGCUCUCUGGGUGGCGAGUGGCGGACGGGUGAGGAAUACAUCGGAAUCUACUUUUUCGUGGGGGAUAACGUAGGGAAACUUACGCUAAUACCGCAUACGACCUACGGGUGAAAGCAGGGGAUCUUCGGACCUUGCGCGAUUGAAUGAGCCGAUGUCGGAUUAGCUAGUUGGCGGGGUAAAGGCCCACCAAGGCGACGAUCCGUAGCUGGUCUGGGAGGAUGAUCAGCCACACUGGAACUGAGACACGGUCCAGACUCCUACGGGAGGCGGCAGUGGGGAAUAUUGGACAAUGGGCGCAAGCCUGAUCCAGCCACACCGCGUGGGUGAAGAAGGCCUUCGGGUUGUAAAGCCCUUUUGUUGGGAAAGAAAUCCAGCUGGCUAAUACCCGGUUGGGAUGACGGUACCCAAAGAAUAAGCACCGGCUAACUUCGUGCCAGCAGCCGCCGUAA